AACGAACGCUGGCGGCAGGCUUAACACAUGCAAGUCGAGCGCCCCGCAAGGGGAGCGGCAGACGGGUGAGUAACGCGUGGGAACGUGCCCUUUGCUACGGAAUAGCUCCGGGAAACUGGAAUUAAUACCGUAUGAGCCCUACGGGGGAAAGAUUUAUCGGCAAAGGAUCGGCCCGCGUUGGAUUAGCUAGUUGGUGGGGUAAAGGCCUACCAAGGCGACGAUCCAUAGCUGGUCUGAGAGGAUGAUCAGCCACAUUGGGACUGAGACACGGCCCAAACUCCUACGGGAGGCGGCAGGGGGGAAUAUGGGACAAGGGGCGCAAGCCUGAUCCAGCCAUGCCGCGUGAGUGAUGAAGGCCUUAGGGUUGUAAAGCUCUUUCACCGGAGAAGAUGGUGACGGUAGCGGGAGAAGAAGCCCCGGCUAACUGCGUGCCAGCCGCCGCGGUAAUAC
rnacentral:rRNA from 1 species